CCUACGGGAGGCAGCAGUGGGGAAUAUUGGUCAAUGGGCGAAAGCCUGAACCAGCAAUGCCGCGUGAGUGAUGAAGGCCUUCGGGUUGUAAAGCUCUGUCAGAGGGAAAGAAAAAUUCGAUUAAUAGUCGAACUUGACGGUACCCUCAAAGGAAGCACCGGCUAACUCUGUGCCAGCAGCCGCGGUAAUA
rnacentral:rRNA from 1 species